rnacentral:tRNA from 1 species
GGGGAUAUAGCUCAGAGGUAGAGCGCUUGCCUAGCAUGUGUGAUGUCCUGGAUUUGGUCCCCUGUAUUGCCA